CGCUUUUCCAUAAAAGCGUGCACACACGCAUCGCGGAACUAGAGCGCGCCGGAAGAAUCGAGAUCGCGCUUUCGCAAUCGAGUAUCCGUAUCGCAGAAACCCACUGUUCUCCGGCGGAGAAUUUAGAGCGGGAGAGGGUGAACCAAAAAAAAACACAGCUGCGCUGAGGAGGGUCGCGGAGGUCGGCUCGAUAAGAUAAACGCGCGAUUACGUAAACGGAGAGAGGCGCGCUUGGAAUGCCGGGAUGAAAUUUCGGGAGUAUUAUCGAUUCGAGCGAGUUUGCUUUUUAAAAAUAACGCCGCGAAGCGACGAUUAAGUUUCGUAAUGGCUUAAUUGCGGAAAUAUUGUCGGGGUGCGCGCACGCGCGAUUGCGGGACUUAAUUAACGCCGAGAAAAAAUUUCGAUAGCGGGAGAUGUGUGUCGCGUGGACUGCGAGAAAUCGAAAGAGUAGUGUAGUGCACGCCUACGUAUUUGUUUCGAUUCGCAGUGUCUCCACGUCGGAACAGCCGGUCUACUUAAAUCGGAGUCGAAACGCGCCGAUAUCGAUCAGUCAAUUGCAGCCGUUGCAUCGCGCAAUUUAGCCGACGCAAAAUGCAGUCGUUGCUUCCAACCGCUCGUUACGAUACUUACAUAGCGCGUAAACACACACACGCGCGCGCGCGCGCGCGGCCCUCCUACUUCGUAUGAAUAUUUCAAGUUGAACGUCGACGACGCACACGAUUGGGGACCGUGCGCGCGAGGAUCGGCCGUGAAUUUUUUAUCGGGACGAGGCGUUACCGUGGGUGUGCGAUGAUGAGAUAAUUGAAGCGUUUGCCACCGCGCCGGAAUCUCUGCAGCGUCGCGUUUAUUUUUCAGAACGAGAACGAGUUGCUCAACGAUUACACCCGAGUCGAAAUGGGCCGAAAGAAAAAUUUUCACCGUUGCGCAACGAUUUUCCAUCGCGCUAACAAUACACACGCGCGCGGGGCUUUGCGUAACGCGCGAAAAAAUGUGGGUCAAGAAAAAGCAACACACAGAAGCCAGAAAUUCUAAUUAAACCAUCCAGGCCAAUUUCCCCUCGCUAUAUACACCGCAGCAGCAGCAGCAGCUCUCUCGGCCGUAAUUUCAAAGCACGUGCGCGCACGCAAUCGCGCGAGGGGGAUGAUGAUGAUGAAACAGGUAUGAUACUUCUGUGCCGGCCGAGGGACUCCACCCUUUUUAAUGCGCUCACCCGUGUGUGCAUCGUUUAAUUUCGUUGAGUUAACGAUCCUGUCGAGUUUUUGGAAGGAAAGUUUCGAAGAAGAAAGUCAGCGCUUUUCCCUGAAAUUCGUCCAAACAACGAAAAGCCGAUUCGGAAACGUCUUCUCGCUCCCCCCCCCCCCCCCUCCCAGUUUCUUUUUCCUUCAUUUCAUUAUCAUCGUCCAUCCCAUUGCCUCCCCACUUCCGAGUCUUCCCGCUAGUCUCCGCGAGCCGCGAAGAGGUGGGGAUAGGGCAUAGGUGGCGCGCGGGGAGAGAGAGCGCCGUCGAGCGCCGCCGAUCUUUCCAGUUGCUCGGCAGCCUCCGAGUCGCGCAGUCGCGCGGUCAUCCUCGACGCGUUCGCUACGUAUUUUUUCCUUCUUCCUCUUUCUCUUGCUCUCUUUAACUACUUACUUAUUCUAAAAUUAAUACUCCUCGGUAGUGCAGCGUUGGUUGACCGCCUGCGGCUUGUAAGUACACGUACUUUUCGCCGAAGUGCCGAAAGGACAAGUGUCGUCUCAGCCGAGUCAUCUUCCGAAAAAAAAAAAGAAUCACGUGCGAGGCUUAUAUCUGCCAGUAUGUAUAACGCUCGCCGGCUCAAUCAUCCAAUUAAUCGAGGUGUACGUACAUAGGAUCUCUGUCGCUCUCUCUCUUGCUCGAGCGCGCGCGCGCCCCUCUCCUUUCGAGUGCGAAUUCCGGCGGGUUCUCUCUCUCUCUCCUUCUUUUCUUUCUUCUUCUCCUCGUCGCCGUCGCCGUGGCUUCUCUCGGCGGCGGCGCGCGCAGCAGUCGCGCCGCGCCGCCGGUCAGUGCUGCGCCUCUUAUUCGCCGCACGAUGGAGAAAGAGAGAUAGAGAGAGAGAGAGAGACACGGCACGGGGAGCUGGAGAACGAGGAUGCUGGCUGCUAAUGUGUCUUCUCGGAAGACAAAAGCAGCCGAGCACAGCGCCGAUGAAUUCCAAGAACAGAAAUCGAGACUCUGCGAGUGCAUCGAAGGCUAAUCAUCAGAAAUAGACGCUCGUCCUCGGCCUGAAGCACAUGCUGCGCUACUUUCUGCCUCGCUUUCUGCAUUUCCACAAGGAACAGCCCUCCAUCGCUCUUCGACGAAGAACCGCACGAUGAGUUGACUAAUGUAGAGCUUUCAUCUGCGAUUUUCGGAGAACAACUGCACUGACAUGAAGAAAUGGCUGUAUUUACUCGUUGUCACGCUGCUGCGGCAUGCGAUUAUCGUCCCGCUGAUUUGUUAUUGAUCUGUAUAACUGCUGACUGGAAUAAAAAAUUUUCGGAGAACGGAA